rnacentral:misc_RNA from 1 species
AGCAGGGGCAACUACUCGGCAACUGUGGGACGCGGCUACCCCCGGAAGAGGACGACGUCGAGGAGGUGGAGCAGGGUUCGUCGGCGGCGAGGAUCCGGGCAAUGCUGAAGUCCGUCGACAGCCUCUGGGAACGGCGGGCUUCACUCAUCUUCGAAACGCAAGAAACUAAAUCGCCUCACGAGUCCAUCCCUCGUUUUAUAGACCCCGGCGCUUCCGCCCCGUCGUUCCUGGUUGGUCCUGGGUUCCAGGGUCCUCCAGGAUCGGUCUGAAUGCGGUAUCCAUUACCAGAGCGGGCGAAUUAGACGCCUAGACGCACACUUGAUGGCUAUCGCAUGAACCGCGAGGGGUCCGACAAAACCAGCGCGUCUUUGGCAAGCGCCGUGUAAAUAAAAUACCUGCGACCGCGUACCGAGCUCUCAUUGUGCAUGCUCUUAUACCAGUGCAUUAUCUACGGGCAAAUCUCUCCUAGGCCAAUAACAACAAUGUAAUUGAUACCACUGCGGGCCCCACAGAGCGGCGGACCGUUUCUAUGGGGUGACGGGCAGAUGGGGCAGGGCCCAGUGGGCCGUGCUUAAUCAAAAAGCCACGGGGGUUGCCACGGGGGUAAAUCGGGGCUAGUUUUGGUAAUGCCGGCUAAUCCGGUAAUAUACCCAUGAUGGCUCGAUCCUCGAUCCUUCCCCCAGAGCUCACUGGCUACAGUGUGGCGAUCGCAGGUUUUCUUUUUUGUCUAACUAUGUGUAUGUACAUACAUUCUAUAUACAUAAUAACAUGUUAUACAGUAUAAGCACAGACUGACUUGCGUGUGCGUUGAUCUCCGUCAGAGAUAUCGGGUGCACGGGGAUGACGUGCGGUUGUCAUCGGUGUAUAAUACUCGAGCCGAAGAAAAAAAGAUUGACAAUAAAAUGCUCCGAAAGUAGCGGAGUGUUUCAAACGGCCAAACCGUUGGCCAGCCGACGGGAGUAUUAGACUUUGCUAGCUGACGUUCUAAUACCGAAACUUAUGAAACUUAACAAUAUAAUGCAUUAUCGAGAAGCCUUAACGCUGCUUGAUAUAACAAUUCAUCUUAUCGUCGAACUUUGACUCACUCUUUGUAUACCUAUAAUAUUUCUUAACAGCGAUCGGCCUUAAUUGCAAUAUAUAUGAAAGUAUUGCGAUGCUGCAAGUCACGAUGCCGCAAAUGUAAUUGAAAUCUGCAUGUGACACAGGAAACAGAGAGUUCUUGUUUCAAAUGCUUCGGCAAAAUGCUCCGCCGCGUUUCGCAUAAAUAUAAUCCACGCACUUCGUACGCAUAUGAACUUAUAGUUAUACUUUCCAAUAAUGCGUGGGCCAACGAUUCGCCCUAGAAAUUUAUACACGCACCGAGAUUACCUAUAAAUAAUGUACUUGACUAAAUAAUUUUGUUACGACAUGAUUUCACCGUUUCGUAAAUACGUGCGUGCCUGUGACAAAAAGAUGGGAGUCAAGCUUAAUUUUUUAUCAGUCAAUCAAACAAAGGCGACAGUCACCAUCUCACGGGACGACGAACUGACCGACGUGAUCGUCGGCAUCGAGGAAUGGAAAUCUCCAGAGAACGACGAUGGAGAGGAGCGACUUGGAGAGGGGAGACAGCGAGUGAUAGGAUGGCUUGAAAGCACCCUUAAGUCAGUCGGUGGUUACGGCCGUUGGGUGUCGUCGCGGUUCCGGAACAGAGUAAUUACUGAGAAUAUCGAGAGGAAUCGGAAAACAAUUAUAAACGCCAAUCGCGACUUAUGUUUUCGGAGUAGGGUCACGGAUACAAAGAAUUAAAGGACUGAACUACUUUUAAACGGGUUAUCAUUAAUCUUGCUCAGCUUGCACGUAAAGUUACAGUGUAUUAUCACGAAUAUUCCCGCUUUUUCAUUCGGCAGGAAUUUACUGAUAUUCGUUCAAUUUCCAACGAGGCAUCACGCGCAGUUCACCAUGAUUAAAAUCUGGAUACUCGUGUUUCGCGAACAUUAACGAUAAGUCGCAUCCUGAGUCUAUGUUGUUUACAGUCCGUACGUGACUCAGUUUGACGAGUUACGGUGUACAAAUUUUUUUCCCCGUUAGUCAAUAACAUGGCAGUCAAUGCCAUUUUUCGAGCCGACGAGGCUGGCAUAUCGAGACAAUGAUACUUUGCACGAUUAGUAUCGAAGAAUUUCAGUACUUGGCAGUCACAGCGGGUCCUCAAGCCGACUCCGCCCUUAAAUUUUUCCGAAAUUAACUCGAAAGUGAGAAAAAUCGAUUAAACCAAGAUCAGGAAACUGGGCUUGAACUCUUCGCACCGUUGUCUGAAGAACAAUUAAGAGAGGAGAAGCAUCCAGAAUGACCGCCACCGAGGAAUCGGAACCGCUCAUUCCCUCGGCUAAUCCACCGGUGGCUACAACCAGCACAGGGAAAUACAGGGUCUCCUACCAGUCUUUGAACAAUCAGAAAAAUGGCUCAUCCGGAACCGAGCGAAAUGGAUCCGAGAGUCCUGUGGCUGCGGUGCGCCUCGAAAAAAUGGGCUCAGGGCCGAGCGCCAACCGUUCAUUGGAGAGAAUUACCUUCACAUGGAGCGACGUGAACGUCUAUGUCACCGCAAAGAAGCAGCGACUGUGGGAGCGAAUAUCUAAGGGGAGAAGGCCCGUGGAGCUGAAGCACAUCCUGAAGGACGUCUCCGGCGUCGCUUAUCCCGGUGAACUCUUGGUCAUCAUGGGCUCUUCGGGAGCGGGGAAGACCACGCUUUUGAACACCUUGACCUUCCGCACCGGCCACGGAAUAACCGUAUCCGGAAUAAGGGCGGCCAAUGGUCGUCGCUUAACUCCGACCGUUCUCACCUCCAGGUCGGCAUACGUCCAGCAGAGCGACCUCUUCAUCGGCGUAUUGACCGUCAAGGAGCAUCUCAUAUUUCAGGCCCUGGUCCGCAUGGAUAGACACAUUCCGUAUUCGCAGCGGAUGCAAAGGGUCGAAGAGGUCAUAGCCGAGCUGGCGCUUACAAAAUGUAAAAACACGGUGAUUGGGGUACCCGGAAGAGUGAACGGGAUUUCAGGUGGCGAGAUGAAGAGACUGUCAUUUGCCUCAGAGUAUCUUACGAAUCCUCCGCUGAUGUUUUGCGACGAGCCAACUUCCGGGCUGGAUUCUUUCAUGGCGCAUCAGGUCGUCACAGUUCUGAAGAACUUGACAGCGAAGGGCAAGACCAUCGUUGCUACCCUGCAUCAGCCGUCCUCGGAAUUGUUCGCAAUGUUCGACAGAAUCCUCCUGAUGGCCGAGGGAAGAGUCGCCUUCAUGGGAAGCCCGGAUCAAGCUUGCGCUUUCUUUAAAAGCGUCGGCGCCGCCUGUCCAAGCAACUACAACCCAGCCGACCACUUCAUCCAAGUCUUGGCGGUGGUUCCGGGUCGGGAGGCGGAGUGUCGUCAGGCCAUAAACAACGUUUGCGAAAAUUUCCAGAAGAGCGAAAUUGGAAUGAAAAUGGCCCUGGAAUCUGUCACCGUGGACGGUGAAUUCGGGGACUCGGUGGUGGACGCGAACACGGUCGCCAGACGAUCUCCCUACAAGGCAUCGUCGUGCGAGCAGUUCAGAGCCGUGCUAUGGCGGUCGUGGAUAUCAGUGAUCAAGGAACCGAUGCUGAUAAAAGUCCGCUUGCUACAAACGAUCAUGGUGGCGGUGCUGAUCGGGGUCAUUUAUUACGGACAGAAGCUGGAUCAGAACGGUGUGAUGAACAUAAACGGAGCUCUCUUCAUUUUCAUCACAAACAUGACGUUCCAGAACGUGUUCGCGGUGAUUUAUGUAUUUUCUAUGGAAUUGCCGAUAUUCCUGCGAGAGCAUCGUAACGGAAUGUACAGAACCGACGUCUACUUCAUCUGCAAGACAUUGGCGGAGGCGCCAGUCUUCAUCGCAAUUCCGUUCAUCUACACCGCGAUCGUCUAUCCGAUGAUCGGAAUGUACCCUGGACCGGAGCACUUUUUUAUAACGGCUGGAAUAGUCACGCUAGUUGCCAACGUGGCGACCUCAUUCGAUCCGUCCCGUUUUACUUCGUCUGGUUCUCGUAUCUGUCCUGGUUCCGUUACGGAAACGAAGCCUUGCUCGUGAACCAGUGGAGCGAAGUCGACUACAUCAGCUGCACCCGGAGCAACGAAACCUGCCCGAAAAACGGCCGCGUCGUUCUCCAGACCCUGAACUUCCGUGAGGACAACUUUUUGAUGGACAUCGUUUGUCUGUUUGCCCUGAUCGUUGUCUUCAGGUUGUCCGCCUUCUUUGCCAUCCUCUUCAGGGCUUAUCGGACGAAAUAAUGGUCGUACCACAGCGGUUUCUUGACCUGCACAUUUUACGAACUCGCACCGAAGACGAGGUCAGCGGUACGAUCAACCGACGUUGUAGAUUUGCACUGGAAGCGUGCAGAAAUGCGGUAUUGCGAGCAUAUUUAUGUAAAAAUCGACAACAGUGCUACUCCGUCCGGUCCGAAGAAGCAAUUAAACAAAUAAACGAGCAAAAGUCAUGCUCGUAAUAUAUUUUAACGAAUAAAUAUAAUUUCCUUCAAAUACCUGUAAAUAUACCGGAUAUAUCUGUAAUUUUACAUACGCAUGCAACAUAAUCAAUAUAUAAUACGAGAUGUUAAGUUAUAAGAUAUCUAUUGAAUACAAAUGACGGACAAUUUUGUUGAUAAGGCCGGUACAUGGAAUAAUUAUUCAAGUCUGAUCUUGACCCACGACUCUCGCACGCAAAAUUACACCGAAUUAUUCCUGCGAAACGUGUUCUAAGGUCAACUAAUUACACAGGCCUGCAAAAUACAACCUUCAAUUUCCCCCUUAAGUAAUAAUGCAUUUUUUUCGGUAUUUGGGCAUGUUGAAUUAAAAUGUAGCUCUAGUUUUUUUUACAGCUCACCGAGAUUCACUUUUAUGCAAGACACGCAGAUUUACAGAUUUCUGGACAAAUCUUGUGACAAAAACGAAUAUACUGAAUAUAAAACUGUUUGCUUAGGUUUAAAAUGAACGGCUUUAGUUUUAAACAAGACUUAAGAGACUAGAUAAAUAAAAAAGACUUGCGAUACCA